GAGAGCGGCGGACGGUUGAGUAAUGUCUGGGAACUGCCUGAUGGAGGGGGAUAACUACUGGAAACGGUAGCUAAUACCGCAUAACGUCGCAAGACCAAAGAGGGGGACCUUCGGGCCUCUUGCCAUCAGAUGUGCCCAGAUGGGAUUAGCUAGUAGGUGGGGUAAUGGCUCACCUAGGCGACGAUCCCUAGCUGGUCUGAGAGGAUGACCAGCCACACUGGAACUGAGACACGGUCCAGACUCCUACGGGAGGCAGCAGUGGGGAAUAUUGCACAAUGGGCGCAAGCCUGAUGCAGCCAUGCCGCGUGUGUGAAGAAGGCCUUCGGGUUGUAAAGCACUUUCAGCGAGGAGGAAGGUGGUGAACUUAAUACGUUCAUCAAUUGACGUUACUCGCAGAAGAAGCACCGGCUAACUCCGUGCCAGCAGCCGCGGUAAUACGGAGGGUGCAAGCGUUAAUCGGAAUUACUGGGCGUAAAGCGCACGCAGGCGGUUUGUUAAGUCAGAUGUGAAAUCCCCGGGCUCAACCUGGGAACUGCAUUUGAAACUGGCAAGCUAGAGUCUCGUAGAGGGGGGUAGAAUUCCAGGUGUAGCGGUGAAAUGCGUAGAGAUCUGGAGGAAUACCGGUGGCGAAGGCGGCCCCCUGGACGAAGACUGACGCUCAGGUGCGAAAGCGUGGGGAGCAAACAGGAUUAGAUACCCCUGGUAGUCCACGCUGUAAACGAUGUUCGAUUUGGAUGUUGUGCCCUUUGAGGCGUGGUCUUCCUGGAGCUAACGCGUUAAAUCGACCGCCUGGGGAGUACGGGCCGCAAGGUUAAAACUUCAAAUGAAUUGACGGGGGCCCCGCACAGCGGAGGAGCAUGUGG
rnacentral:rRNA from 1 species